CGGUGGUUAGCAAGGGCCGGGCAAGACCGGUGCCAGCCGCCGCGGUAAUACCGGCGGCUCGAGUGGUGGCCGAUAUUAUUGAGUCUAAAGGGUCCGUAGCCGGCUUUGCAAGUCUCUCGGGAAAUCCAGCGGCUUAACCGUUGGUCGUCCGGGGGGUACUACAUUGCUUGGGACUGGGAGAGGUAGGAGGUACUCAGGGGGUAGGAGUGAAAUCCUGUAAUCCUUUGGGGACCACCGGUGGCGAAGGCGUCCUACCAGAACAGGUCCGACGGUGAGGGACGAAAGCUAGGGGCACGAACCGGAUUAGAUACCCGGGUAGUCCUAGCCGUAAACGAUGCUCGCUAGGUGUCACAACAAUCGUGAAUUGUUGUGGUGCCGUAGGGAAGCCGUGAAGCGAGCCACUUGGGAAGUACGACCGCAAGGUUGAAACUUAAAGGAAUUGGCGGGGGAGCACCACAACGGGUGGAGCCUGCGGUUUAAUUGGACUCAACGCCGGGAAGCUUACCGGGAUCGACAGUUGUAUGAAGGCCAGGCUGAAGACCUUGCCGGACUAUCUGAGAGGUGGUGCAUGGCC
rnacentral:rRNA from 1 species